rnacentral:rRNA from 1 species
GACGAACGCUGGCGGCGUGCUUAACACAUGCAAGUCGAACGGAAAGGCCCUGCUUUUGUGGGGUGCUCGAGUGGCGAACGGGUGAGUAACACGUGAGUAACCUGCCCUUGACGUUGGGAUAACUGCAGGAAACUGGGGCUAAUACCGGAUAGGAGCGCCUGCUGCAUGGUGGGGGUUGGAAAGUUUCGGAGGUUGGGGAUGGACUUGCGGCUUAUCAGCUUGUUGGUGGGGUAGUGGCUUACCAAGGCUUUGACGGGUAGCCGGCCUGAGAGGGUGACCGGCCACAUUGGGACUGAGAUACGGCCCAGACUCCUACGGGAGGCAGCAGUGGGGAAUAGUGCACAAUGGGCGGAAGCCUGAUGCAGCAACGCCGCGUGCGGGAUGACGGCCUUCGGGUUAUAAACCGCUUUCGCCUGUGACGAAGCGUGAGUGACGGUAAUGGGUAAAGAAGCACCGGCUAACUACGUG